rnacentral:rRNA from 1 species
GAUGAACGCUGGCGGCGUGCCUAACACAUGCAAGUCGAACGGACAAAGAUGAAACCUAGUGAUUCUUUGUUAGUGGCGGACGGGUGAGUAACGCGUGGGUAACCUGCCUCGCACUGGGGGAUAACAGUUAGAAAUGACUGCUAAUACCGCAUAAGCGCACAGUACCGCAUGGUACAGUGUGAAAAACUCCGGUGGUGUGAGAUGGACCCGCGUCUGAUUAGCUGGUUGGUGGGGUAACGGCCUACCAAGGCAACGAUCAGUAGCCGGCCUGAGAGGGUGACCGGCCACAUUGGGACUGAGACACGGCCCAAACUCCUACGGGAGCAGCAGUGGGGAAUAUUGGGCAAGUGGGGGAAACCCUGACCCAGCAACGCCGCGUGGAGG